UACGUAGGGCGCAAGCGUUAUCCGGAAUUAUUGGGCGUAAAGAGCUCGUAGGCGGUGUGUCACGUCGGCCGUGAAAACCUGCAGCUUAACUGUGGGCGUGCGGUCGAUACGGGCAUCACUGGAGUUCGGCAGGGGAGACUGGAAUUCCUGGUGUAGCGGUGAAAUGCGUAGAUAUCUGGAGGAACACCGGUGGCGAAGGCGGCGUCCUGGACCAACACUGACACUGAUGAGCGAAAGCCAGGGGAGCAAACGGG
rnacentral:rRNA from 1 species